rnacentral:tRNA from 1 species
GAUGUGACUCAGUGGUACAGUGCUUGCCUAGCAUGCAUGAAGCUCCGGGUUCAAUUCCCAGUGCAAUCA